AGUUAGAAUUGCCAAACAUAACUCUAGUAACUGAAUUCAACAAUAAGAAGAUAUCUAUUAAAACUCAGAAGUUUGCAUUUGGAAGAAGGUUGUCGAGAUUUUUGCCAUUUCCUCCUGAUAGAACUGGGGUUACUGAGUCAGGAAAGCACACUCGUCUCUGAGACACAGAGUCUGUCCCGUUUCCUGAAAGCGUAAUGGCUGGACCCAUAGAGGAAACACACUUUUUUCAUCCGCGCUUCUCUUCCGGAUAACUUGGAUGAUGUCUUGACUUUUACGUCAUGUCACACAAGGAAGCUGUGUGUUUGAGACAGGGAGAAAAUGAAGUCGACGCGUUUUCGUACCGUGAGAUACCUGGUUUCAACUACAGAUCUUCUUUCAGUAAGCUGACGAGCAGUGUGCGGGAACAGGUAGGGGAGGGGCAGCACUGCAUCACUUAAUGCACCACGCAGCCAAAGGAGACUCUGAGACCCCUCUGGCUCCUUCUUUUACAUCUCAAUAAAAGAACAUUAAAUGCUGACCUCCACAAGCCAAUAAGAAUAAAUCAUCAAGGACAGAUUUUCUCGCAGGCUGACUGAAGGAAAAUGGCUGAAGUAGCUCUGCUCCAGGAGGCUUUAUGACUCUCAUCCCUAAUCAAUGAGGGGUUUACUUUGUGUCCAUGACAGGCUGUAUCCACAUUAAUACAACCACUCAGAGAUUAAAUAAGAAGACCCACGG